rnacentral:rRNA from 1 species
UAGCUAGUUGGUGAGGUAAAGGCUUACCAAGGCGACGAUCUGUAGCGGGUCUGAGAGGAUGAUCCGCCACACUGGAACUGAGACACGGUCCAGACUCCUACGGGAGGCAGCAGUGGGGAAUUUUGGACAAUGGGGGCAACCCUGAUCCAGCCAUGCCGCGUGAGUGAAGAAGGCCUUCGGGUUGUAAAGCUCUUUCGGCCGGGAAGAAAUCGCAUGGGCCAAUACCCUGUGUGGAUGACGGUACCGGAAUAAGAAGCACCGGCUAACUACGUGCCAGCAGCCGCGGUAAUACGUAGGGUGCGAGCGUUAAUCGGAAUUACUGGGCGUAAAGCGUGCGCAGGCGGUUUUGUAAGACAGGCGUGAAAUCCCCGGGCUUAACCUGGGAACUGCGUUUGUGACUGCAAGGCUAGAGUACGGCAGAGGGGGGUGGAAUUCCACGUGUAGCAGUGAAAUGCGUAGAGAUGUGGAGGAACACCAAUGGCGAAGGCAGCCCCCUGGGUCGAUACUGACGCUCAUGCACGAAAGCGUGGGUAGCAAACAGGAUUAGAUACCCUGGUAGUCCACGCCCUAAACUAUGUCAACUAGGUGUUGGGUGGGUAAAACCAUUUAGUACCGUAGCUAACGCGUGAAGUUGACCGCCUGGGGAGUACGGCCGCAAGGUUAAAACUCAAAGGAAUUGACGUGGAUCCGCACAAGCGGUGGAUGAUGUGGAUUAAUUCGAUGCAACGCGAAAAACCUUACCUACCCUUGACAUGCCAGGAACUUGCCAGAGAUGGCUUGGUGCCCGAAAGGGAGCCUGGACACAGGUGCUGCAUGGCUGUCGUCAGCUCGUGUCGUGAGAUGUUGGGUUAAGUCCCGCAACGAGCGCAACCCUUGUCGUUAAUUGCCAUCAUUUAGUUGGGCACUUUAACGAGACUCCGGUGACAAACCGGAGGAAGGGGGAUGACGUCAAGUCCUCAUGGCCCUUAUGGGUAGGGCUUCACACGUCAUACAAUGGUCGGUACAAAGGGUUGCCAAGCCGCGAGGCGGAGCCAAUCCCAGAAAGCCGAUCGUAGUCCGGAUUGCAGGCUGCAACACGCCUGCAUGAAGUCGGAAUCGCUAGUAAUCGUGGAUCAGCAUGUCACGGUGAAUACGUUCCCGGGUCUUGUACACACCGCCCGUCACACCAUGGGAGCGGGUUCCGCCAGAAGUAGGUAGCCUAACCGCAAGGGGGGCGCUUACCACGGCGGGGUUCGUGACUGGGGUGAAGUCGUAACAAGGUAGCCGUAGGGGAACCUGCGGCUG